AUAGAACCAAGAACGCCAUAGUUUGAUGUGAUAGU
rnacentral:guide_RNA from 1 species